UAAAGCCAGCAACUCAAAACUGUUGGCUGCUCACUGCAAAGACUUCUGGAAUGCAAAGAUUGUUCAUUGCAACAAGACUUCCAGGCACAUGAGCACAGCACCAUCCUGCAGCCUGAAGUGGCUCCAUCUCUGGACCCCCAGGCCUCCAGAGAGUUGUCAGAC